rnacentral:rRNA from 1 species
GUGAACAACGUGCCCCUAAGUCUGGGACAAACGCAGAAAUGCCAUGAAUACCAGAUGUGACCGAGAGAGGACAUCCUUUUUCGAUUAAAGGCUUUUCGCUUAGGGAGCGGUUCACGGCCUAUCAGCUAGUUGGUGGGGUAAAGGCCUACCAAGGCGACGACGGGUAGGGGGUCUGAGAGGAUGAUCCCCCCGAGUGGGACUGAGACACGGCC